rnacentral:rRNA from 1 species
UGGGGAAUAUUGGACAAUGGGCGAAAGCCUGAUCCAGCCAUGCCGCGUGUGUGAAGAAGGUCUUCGGAUUGUAAAGCACUUUAAGUUGGGAGGAAGGGCAUUAACCUAAUACGUUAGUGUUUUGACGUUACCGACAGAAUAAGCACCGGCUAACUCUGUGCCAGCAGCCGCGGUAAUAAAGAGGGAGCAAGCGUUAAUCGGAAUUACUGGGCGUAAAGCGCGCGUAGGUGGUUUGUUAAGUUGGAUGUGAAAUCCCCGGGCUCAACCUGGGAACUGCAUUCAAAACUGACUGACUAGAGUAUGGUAGAGGGUGGUGGAAUUUCCUGUGUAGCGGUGAAAUGCGUAGAUAUAGGAAGGAACACCAGUGGCGAAGGCGACCACCUGGACUAAUACUGACACUGAGGUGCGAAAGCGUGGGGAGCAAACA